rnacentral:ncRNA from 2 species
CGGCAACAAAGUGCUCCAGGUGCUCCACGGGCCAUCCGGCCCAGGAGUUAAACGGGAAACAGGUGCGCGGCCUUCCUCGAAGCCGCCAUCCCUGUGCUGCCCCCGCAACGGUAAGCAGGUGCACGGCGCGUCAAUCCGCCACUGGGUUUUCGACCUGGGAAGGCGACGCGCCGCGGCCGGUGGUCCAUCCACCCGCCCAGCCUGCGAGCCCGGAUACCGGCCUCGGACACACCAAGCGG